rnacentral:rRNA from 1 species
CCUACGUGGGGGCUGCAGUGGGGAAUAUUGGACAAUGGGGGAAACCCUGAUCCAGCGACGCCGCGUGAGUGAAGAAGUAUUUCGGUAUGUAAAGCUCUAUCAGCAGGGUAAGAAAAUGACGGUACCUGACUAAGAAGCCCCGGCUAACUACGUGCCAGCAGCCGCGGUAAUACGUAGGGGGCAAGCGUUAUCCGGAUUUACUGGGUGUAAAGGGAGCGUAGUACGGCACUGCAAGUCUGGAGUGAAAGCCCGGGGCUCAACCUCCGGGACUGCUUUGGAAACUUGUGGUGCUAGAGUGCAGGAGAGGUAAUGUGGAAUUCCUAUGUGUAGCGUGAAUAUGCGUAGAUAUUAGGAGGAACACCAUGGCGAAGGCGGCUUUACUGGACUGUAACUGACGUUGAGGCUCGAAUAGCGUGGGGAGCAAACAGGAUUAGAUACCCCAGUAGUC